GUGUUGAUAGAAUUUCCUAUGCUGCUAUUUACUAUAUUAGUAAGUUUACCAUUGUGAUUUAGGAAGGAGCCAGAGAAUUUAAAGUCUGAGGAUUUUAUUCCUGACUCCACAGCCCUGAAAAUACCCAAACAUAUUCACAGACUACACACAAACACACACAUACUUUCACAGAGUAGUAGACUCCUGCAUAUACAAAUCAUGGUUAAACAGAAAUAUAUACAUACUCAUUCAUUAGUUAUGAAUUGUGCCUGCAAAUCCCAUCUCUAUAUACAUGGAAAAUAGCGUGUAUUGGCUUUCAGCUUUCAUUUAUAUAUGGUCAAUAGGGUUGCCAAUUUUUUUGUGUGUUUUUGAUGGAGGAGCAGUUGCUGAAAUGCGGACAUAUAGCGCAUGCUCGGAUAUCUCUGCAAUCCACAAAUCCAAAGCAUUUCUAUGAGAAGCAUUAACCGUGACAGGUGUUGUCAUCAUUUGAAAAAUUAAAAGUAUCUGAAAGAUCCUGUCUGGUUGACAUCCACUAGAUUUGUGCUUUUUUUGGCCAAAUGUAAACAUGCCAUUUCUCAGAAAUGGCAAUGUUUUACGUUGUCAAAGAAAAAGAGAUGCUUCCACGCAUCAAAACCUCUACAUUAAGAUGUAGUCGUUUUGUUGCUUAAAUUGUCCCUUUAAACAAUUGAUAUAUCAUUCUACUUACAGAUACAUUUUAUAUUUAAUUGCUUUAGGAAAUAUUAAAGGACCACUAUAUGCACCCAGACCACUUCAGCUCAAUGAAGUGGUCUGGGUGCCAGGUCCUCCUAGUUUUAACCCUGCAGCUGAGGGUUAAUCCAGCUUCUAGUGGCUUUCUCACUGUGAAAAAUCAUAGGAAAGCAUUGAGUAACGCGUAUUCAGCACUGACGUCGGCAGGAGGAGGAAAGUUCCCCAGCGCCAAGGGGCGCUGGAGAAAGAUAAGUGGCAGUAGGAGUUUUAACCCCUUCAGCCCAGCAGGAGGGGGCCAUGAGGGUGGGGGGACCUAAGGACUACAUAGUGCCCGGAAAACAAGUUUGCUUUCCUGGCACCUUAGUGCUCCUUUAACUAAAUACUUACUUUCUGUCCAUUCUGGUUUUGUGGGUGUAACAAAAAUGUAAAACCUAGUGCCACUUCUUUCCUAGCUUCCACCCACCCUCUCCUUCAUGAAUAUUUGGCAAUUCUUUCAUAAGCGGGAUGUUACUGCCCGCAAUGUUACUAUGAUUGCAACAAGCUUUAUUUUUUGUCAAUGUAUAAGUGUCUCGAUUAAUUUUCUAUGUUAAUCUGGCAAUGUGCUCACCAAAGGAAUAAGAACUGUAUUGUUGUGAAGGAGAACAGGACAACCACCUGCACGACAGUUCUCCCUUUCCCCCCUAAUCAGUAAGUUUAGGGGUAGGAGCAUGCUGAAGCCUUUUUAAAAAAAAAUGUAAACAUUUACUAGCAAUUCUGCUAAUACAAUGUAUAAAUAAAAUGUCUUUAACCCCUUAAGGACCAAACUUCUGGAAUAAAAGAGAAUGAAGACAUGUCACACGUCAUGUGUCCUUAAGGGGUUAAAUAGAUACUAUAGUCACCAAAACAACAUGGCUUAAUGAAGUAGUAUUAGUGUACAAAUCAUGCCCCUGCUGUUUCACUGCUGAAAUCUCUGCCACAGGAGUUAAAUCACUUUGUUUAUGUAGCCCUAGUCAUACCUCACAGCCUUCCUGAACACUUCCUGUAAAGAGUCAUCUACUGUCUAUACUUUAUUUAUUGCACACAGUCUGUUUAAUGCAGAUUUUCUUAUCUCCAACAAUGUUAAUAGCUUAUUAGAGUCUGCAGGAGCCUCCUGUAUGUAAUUAAAGUUCAAUUUAUGGAGCAGGAGAUACAAACUUUUAAAGUAUGUAACUUCUAAGUGAAAUUGCAACCUUUUUUUUCAUGCAGUCUGUGUCAGUCACAGCCAGGGGAGGUGUGCCUAGAGCUGAAUAAACAGAAACAAAAAUGGUUUAACUCCUAAAUGGCAGAGAAUUGAGCAGUGGUACUUCAGCUGUAUGAUCUAUAGAGAAAAACUGCUCCAUUAAGCUAAAGUUGUUUGGUGACUAUAGUGUCCCUUAUUGUGACAUAUACACUUUAAUAUAUAUUAAACACACAUACUUUUAUAAAGCUUUUUAUAUACUCCUUAAUUCAGUUGGGCUAAUUUCACUCAUAUUUACCCUCACUGCAUAAUAUGUACACAACAUACAUACCUGCCAUCUAUUAUUGUAGGUCACACCUAGCACUAUAGUUUCCUUUCAGGGAUCAGGUGGUCUCAAAAUAACUUAUGUCUUUACAGACUGAAUGCCCUGUUUAUUUAGCUUUGUCAGUUUCAUGCAUUCCUACUGUUUGCUGAGUAGGAUAUUACAUUUUAGAAUAUGAUCUUAAAAGAACAAUUUUUAUAAUGACAUAACAGUAAGAAGUCAUUCUUCCUUUAGGAGUUAAUAUAUUUUGAGACCGUUACAUGCAUUCUUGUUUUCAAAAUCCAACUAUUU
rnacentral:lncRNA from 1 species